UUUGUUCUUAAGGAACGUCAACGCUCCAAUCACCCUGUUGGUCAUAAGAAAUCAUAAGCAGUUCACAAAGCAUCAGCAUGACAAAGCAUUUAGAACAAAGAUGAGAAAUACUCCACCUGUACUUUACUGCUCCAGUAAAGCACAUGUCCUUCUGGUUUAAGGAAAAGUUUCCGGUUGAGCCGGAAGGACAACACAAGUCAACAUGUGAGACAGAAGAUGGGUGAAGGACAUGCCAGUAUCCAUUUACCAAUAUAUCAGGAGGUCCUGCCUUAAAAGAGAAAGCCUGACGAGCCUUACCGUCUUGUGCUUCGAAGUGGGCUAAGCGUCUCUGUGACGAGAGGG
ensembl:lncRNA